rnacentral:rRNA from 1 species
AUUGAACGCUGGCGGCAGGCCUAACCCAUGCAAGUCGAGCGCUCGGCGGACGGGUGAGUAAUGUCUGGGAAACUGCCUGAUGGCGGGGGAUAACUACUGGAAACGGUAGCUACUACCGCAUACCCUCAGAUGUGCCCACAUGGGAUUAGCUGGUAGGUGGGGUAACGGAGCACCUGGGCGACGAUCCCUAGCUGGUCUGAUAGGAUGACCAGCCACACUGGAACGGAGACACGGUCCAGAAUCCGACGGGAGGCAGCAGUGGGGAAUAUUGCACAAUGGGCGCAAGCCUGAUGCAGCCAUGCCGCGUGUGUGAAGAAGGCCUUCGGGUUGUAAAGCACUUUCAGCGGGGAGGCGUUACCCGCAGAAGAAGCACCGGCUAACUCCGUGCCAGCAGCCGCGGUAAUUC